AUCUCUUUGCCUUUUGGCUUAGAUCAAGUGUAGUAUCUGUUCUUUUCAGUGUAACAGCUGAAACUAGACUGUCCGUUGGGCAGUCUAUUUUAUGUUACUUUAUUUUUGAUGAGAAAUUGCCGACUGCUUGCGGUUCAGAUUUAUCUGGCUCUGGCGACCGGUGUUGGUGUCGUUACCCCGAACACUUU
rnacentral:snRNA from 1 species